UCGUCACACUAUCAUUAACUGAAUCCAUAGGUUAAUGAGGCGAACCGGGGGAACUGAAACAUCUAAGUACCCCGAGGAAAAGAAAUCAACCGAGAUUCCCCCAGUAGCGGCGAGCGAACGGGGAGGAGCCCAGAGCCUGAAUCAGCAUGUGUGUUAGUGGAAGCGUCUGGAAAGGCGCGCGAUACAGGGUGACAGCCCCGUACACAAAAGCGCAUGUGCUGUGAGCUCGAUGAGUAGGGCGGGACACGUGGUAUCCUGUCUGAAUAUGGGGGGACCAUCCUCCAAGGCUAAAUACUCCUGACUGACCGAUAGUGAACCAGUACCGUGAGGGAAAGGCGAAAAGAACCCCGGCGAGGGGAGUGAAAAAGAACCUGAAACCGUGUACGUACAAGCAGUGGGAGCACCCUUUGGGUGUGACUGCGUACCUUUUGUAUAAUGGGUCAGCGACUUAUAUUCUGUAGCAAGGUUAACCGAAUAGGGGAGCCGGAGGGAAACCGAGUCUUAACCGGGCGUUAAGUUGCAGGGUAUAGACCCGAAACCCGGUGAUCUAGCCAUGGGCAGGUUGAAGGUUGGGUAACACUAACUGGAGGACCGAACCGACUAAUGUUGAAAAAUUAGCGGAUGACCUGUGGCUGGGGGUGAAAGGCCAAUCAAACCGGGAGAUAGCUGGUUCUCCCCGAAAGCUAUUUAGGUAGCGCCUCGUGAAUUCAUCUCCGGGGGUAGAGCACUGUUUCGGCUAGGGGGCCAUCCCGGCUUACCAACCCGAUGCAAACUGCGAAUACCGGAGAAUGUUAUCACGGGAGACACACGGCGGGUGCUAACGUCCGUCGUGAAGAGGGAAACAACCCAGACCGCCAGCUAAGGUCCCAAAGUCAUGGUUAAGUGGGAAACGAUGUGGGAAGGCCCAGACAGCCAGGAUGUUGGCUUAGAAGCAGCCAUCAUUUAAAGAAAGCGUAAUAGCUCACUGGUCGAGUCGGCCUGCGCGGAAGAUGUAACGGGGCUAAACCAUGCACCGAAGCUGCGGCAGCGACACUGUGUGUUGUUGGGUA
rnacentral:rRNA from 3 species